CCAGCUCCAAUAGCGUAUAUUAAAGUUGUUGCAGUUAAAAAGCUCGUAGUUGAAACUUGGGCCUGGCUGGCGGGUCCGCCUCACCGCGUGCACUCGUCCGGCCGGGCCUUCCUUCUGAAGAACCUCAUGCCCUUCACUGGGCGUGCUGGGGAAUCAGGACUUUUACUUUGAAAAAAUUAGAGUGUUCAAAGCAGGCCUUUGCUCGAAUACGUUAGCAUGGAAUAAUAAAAUAGGGCGUGCGUUUCUAUUUUGUUGGUUCCUAGAGACGCCGCAAUGAUUAACAGGAACAGUCGGGGGCAUCAGUAUUCAGUUGUCAGAGGUGAAAUUCUUGGAUUUACUGAAGACUAACUACUGCGAAAGCAUUUGCCAAGGAUGUUUUCAUUAAUCAGUGAACGAAAGUUAGGGGAUCGAAGACGAUCAGAUACCGUCGUAGUCUUAACCGUAAACUAUGCCGACUAGGGAUCGGGCGAUGUUCUUUUUCUGACUCGCUCGGCACCUUACGAGAAAUCAAAGUUUUUGGGUUCUGGGGGGAUUAUGGUCGCAAGGCUGAAACUUAAAGAAAUUGACGGAAGGUCACCACCAGGCGUGGAGCCUGCGGCUUAAUUCGACUCAAC
rnacentral:rRNA from 1 species